rnacentral:hammerhead_ribozyme from 1 species
GUCCGGCUGAUGAGUCCUGAGUAGGACGAAACGUGCGUACUGGAU